rnacentral:rRNA from 1 species
GCAACGCGGAGAACCUUACCAAGCCUUGACAUCCUCCUGACGGCCCCUUAGCCGGGGAGUCCCUUCGGGGCAGGAGAGACAGGUGGUGCAUGGUUGUCGUCAGCUCGUGUCGUGAGAUGUUGGGUUAAGUCCCGCAACGAGCGCAACCCUUAUCCUCAGUAGCCAGCGGUCCGGCCGGGCACUCUGUGGAGACUGCCGGAGAUAAUCCGGAGGAAGGUGGGGAUGACGUCAAAUCAUCAUGCCCUUUAUGGCUUGGGCUACACACGUGCUACAAUGGCGGUAACAAAGUGAAGCAGCCUCGCGAGAGUGAGCCAACCACAAAAAAACCGUCCCAGUUCGGAUUGUAGUCUGCAACCCGACUACAUGAAGCUGGAAUCGCUAGUAAUCGCAGAUCAGAAUGCUGCGGUGAAUACGUUCCCGGGUCUUGUACACACCGCCCGUCACACCAUGGGAGUCGGAAAUGCCCGAAGCCAGUGACCCAACCUUAGGGAGGGAACUGUCGAAGGUGGAGCCGAUAACUGGGGUGAAGUCGUAACAAGGUAGCCGUAUCGGAAG